CUUUACCUGCUAAAAAAGCAGGCGGGCUUUGGCUGGUCGCGGGUUUUUUAGAGGGACUGUCAGGGUCUAACCGACGGAAGUUUGAGGCAAUAACAGGUCUGUGAUGCCCUUAGAUGUUUUGGGCCGCACGCGCGCUACACUGACAGAGCCAGCGAGUUUUUUUCCUUGGCCGGAAGGUCCGGGUAAUCUUGUGAAACUCUGUCGUGCUGGGGAUAGAGCAUUGCAAUUAUUGCUCUUCAACGAGGAAUUCCUAGUAAGCGCGAAGUCAUCAGCUCGCCGUUGAAUUA
rnacentral:rRNA from 1 species